GGGGUAGUACUGGUUUCGACAGGGAUUCUGAAAUUAGGGCAGCCAUCCGAGGUGAGGGACCUCGUAAAAACCUUUAAAAAAAAUAAACGCUAACGAUAGAGUAGCACUCGCUGCCUAAUGGCAGCUGUCCGCCACGUGUCAUCCGAUGCAUGUGAUACGGGCAUCGAAGAGUCGGAGAACUUUCGCCCAAAGCUUUGAGGGACGGGAAGAAUCAUGAAGCUACUGAAAUCAUAAGCCUGUCAGACGGCGUAUGACGUAGGGAAUGUUAGUAGACUGACUGUGAUGGGAGACACCGUGAUGGACGGGUUUUUGGACCGGGGUUCGAUUCCCCGCUACUCCAU
rnacentral:tmRNA from 1 species